ACAGAGUCAGUGACGUCACUUGUUUCGUCGCGUCUUGGCGACCUGUGAACAGAUUUGACUAUCGUGGAAGAGGCCUCUGAGCAACAUGAUCUCGCUCCUGAAGAGGAGUGUAUGGAACAGACAGACGUCUGCAGUAAUUCCAUCACCAAAGUCACGCGGAGAUCUCUUCUGUGAUGUUCACUGCGUCAAAAGCUGUCCGUGUGAAGAGGCAGCUGGGACUAGGUAUGGCGAGACCGCAAGGCCUUCUCAUCUGUUAGCUGGUUCUCCGUUGACAAAUGACGUGUGUGUCACAUAAAAACUGAUGACAAGGGGACAUGAGCCAUCAGUUGGGAAUUAACUUAGUUGGAGGGGGUGUAUCUUCAUUCUGCCAGCUGGUUGAAUAAGGAAAAUAAACUUGUUCAGAAAGAUGGAUGUCCUCUGAGAGGGCAGAAAACUCAUGUCUGUGAAUUCCAAUUCAGCUCUGAAUGCUCUGUAAGCACUGAAUGCUUUUUUUUUUUUGGCGUUUUUUUUUUUUUUAAACGUGAUUGUAUACUUUUGUGUGUUUAGUGUGCUUGUUAAUGCUUGUUUUAUACAGGUAAUGACCAUACAAAGUAAAUGUCUGGGCAGAUGAGUGAUACAAAGUAUCGAAGGCAGGUGCAUCAGCACAGAUAUGGUUCCUGAUCUGAUUAAUCAAUUAGCAUCCCAUCACGCUUAGGAUGUAUAUAAUGCUGAGUGACUUUAUUUUGGUGAAAGGUUCUGGUGGCUGUGUUGUACUACUC